rnacentral:rRNA from 1 species
UACGGAAGGGGGCUAGCGUUGCUCGGAAUCACUGGGCGUAAAGGGUGCGUAGGCGGGUCUUUAAGGUCAGGGGUGAAAUCCUGGAGCUCAACUCCAGAACUGCCUUUGAUACUGAAGAUCUUGAGUUCGGGAGAGGUGAGUGGAACUGCGAGUGUAGAGGUGAAAUUCGUAGAUAUUCGCAAGAACACCAGUGGCGAAGGCGGCUCACUGGCCCGAUACUGACGCUGAUGCACGAAAGCGUGGGGAGCAAACAGG